AACCUACUCCCUCUGUCUGGAAAUACUUGACCAAAAAAUGGUUGUAUCUAGACUUAUUUCAGUUAUAGAUACAUCCAUUUUAUCCAUUUUUAGGACAAGUAUUUCCGGACAGAGGGAGUAUAUU
rfam:Triticum aestivum genome assembly, contig: Triticum_aestivum_CS42_TGACv1_scaffold_383335_5AL